AGUCCACGCCGUAAACGAUGAGUGCUAGGUGUUAGGGGGUUUCCGCCCCUUAGUGCUGAAGUUAACGCAUUAAGCACUCCGCCUGGGGAGUACGGCCGCAAGGCUGAAACUCAAAAGAAUUGACGGGGGCCCGCACAAGCGGUGGAGCAUGUGGUUUAAUUCGAAGCAACGCGAAGAACCUUACCAGGUCUUGACAUCCUCUGACAACCCUAGAGAUAGGGCUUUCCCUUCGGGGACAGAGUGACAGGUGGUGCAUGGUUGUCGUCAGCUCGUGUCGUGAGAUGUUGGGUUAAGUCCCGCAACGAGCGCAACCCUUGUCCUUAGUUGCCAGCAUUCAGUUGGGCACUCUAAGGAGACUGCCGGUGACAAACCGGAGGAAGGUGGGGAUGACGUCAAAUCAUCAUGCCCCUUAUGACCUGGGCUACACACGUGCUACAAUGGAUGGUACAAAGGGCAGCAAAACCGCGAGGUCGAGCAAAUCCCAUAAAACCAUUCUCAGUUCGGAUUGCAGGCUGCAACUCGCCUGCAUGAAGCCGGAAUCGCUAGUAAUCGCGAUCAGCUGCCGCGAUGCC
rnacentral:rRNA from 1 species